AGGGACAUAGUUAAACGGUAUAGCUACGGUCUCCAAAACCGUCAUUGCGGGUUCGAUUCCUGCUGUCCCUGCCA
rnacentral:tRNA from 1 species